rnacentral:rRNA from 1 species
UCGAAGGGUAUGUGCAGACAUGCCUGGAACGGCCGCUAGUGCAGAUCUUGGUGGUAGUAGCAAGUAUUCAAGCGAGAUCCUUGAAGGGCGAAGCGGGGAAGGGUUCCACGCGAACAUUGAUUGGGCGUGGGUGAGUCGUUCCUAAGCCGAGUGGCGAUUGCUAAGUAGCGGCGAAAGGGAAGCUGGUUGACAUUCCAGCACACGGAUGUGGAGGCGGUGACGCGUAUUGAGUCGAACACGCUGGCGGUGGCGCUGGGCAGAGUUGUCUUUUCUGUUUGACUUUGCGCGCGCGGUGUGGAAUCCGCUUGUCGGGAGAAACACGCGUGUCGAGGCAGAGCGCCGGGGCUUUUCCGGCGUCCAGCUCGCCACCGACGGCCCUUGAAACUUUGACUACUGAAAUCCACGCCGUGGCGUACCGAUCACCGCAUCAGGUCCCCAAGGUGAACAGCCUCUGCUCUAUAUGAACAAUGCAGGUAAGGAAAGUCGGCAAAUUAGACCCGUAACUUUGGGAUAAGGGUUGGCUCUAGUGCUGCGUGGGAGUGGUC